rnacentral:misc_RNA from 1 species
GAACGCACAUUGCGCCCCGUGGUAUUCCGCGGGGCAUGCCUGUUCGAGCGUCAGUACAACACUCAAGCUCUGCUUGGUCUUGGGCCGCGUCAGUUCUGACCGGCCUUAAAAUCAGUGGCGGUGCCAUCGUGCUCUAAGCGUAGUAAUACUCCUCGCUACAGGGUCUCGGUGCGUGCUGGCCAGCAACCCCCAACUUUCUAAGUUUGACCUCGGAUCAGGUAGGGAUACCCGCUGAACUUAAG